AUGUCCCGUUAUCGAGGACCUCGUUUAAAAAAAAUACGCCGUCUAGGAGCUUUACCAGGACUCACUAGAAAAACACCUAAAUCCGGAAGUAAUCUUAAAAAAAAUUCAAUUCUGGGAAAAAGGAGCAAUAUCGUAUUCGUCUUCAAGAAAAACAGAAAUUGCAUUUUCAUUAUGGUCUGGCAGAACGACAAUUACUUAGAUAUGUACAUAUCGCUGGAAAAGCAAAAAGGUCAACAGGCCAGGUUUUACUACAAUUACUUGAAAUGCGUUUGGAUAAUAUCCUUUUUCGAUUGGGUGUGGCUUCAACCAUUCCUGGGGCCCGCCAAUUAG
rnacentral:rRNA from 1 species